rnacentral:rRNA from 1 species
CACGUAGGGCGCAAGCGUUGUCCGGAUUUACUGGGCGUAAAGGGCGUGCAGGCGGUUUGUUAAGUGCAGGGUGAAAGCUCCCGGCUCAACUGGGAGAGGUCCUUGCAUACUGGCAAACUCGAGGGAGGCAGAGGAAAGUGGAAUUCCCGGUGUAGUGGUGAUAUGCGUAGAUAUCGGGAGGAACACCUGUGGCGAAGGCGGCUUGCUGGGCCGUACCUGACGCUGAGACGCGAAAGCGUGGGGAGCGAACCGG